UACGUAGGGGGCAAGCGUUGUCCGGAAUUAUUGGGCGUAAAGCGCGCGCAGGCGGCUUCUUAAGUCAGGUGUGAAAGCCCACGGCUCAACCGUGGAGGGCCACUUGAAACUGGGAAGCUUGAGUGCAGGAGAGGAGAGCGGAAUUCCACGUGUAGCGGUGAAAUGCGUAGAGAUGUGGAGGAACACCCGUGGCGAAGGCGGCUCUCUGGCCUGUAACUGACGCUGAGGCGCGAAAGCGUGGGGAGCGAACAGG
rnacentral:rRNA from 2 species